UACGUAGGGGGCAAGCGUUGUCCGGAAUUAUUGGGCGUAAAGAGCUCGUAGGCGGUCUGUUACGUCUGCUGUGAAAACCCUGGGCUUAACCCUGGGCUUGCAGUGGAUACGGGCAGACUAGAGGCAGGUAGGGGAGAAUGGAAUUCCUGGUGUAGCGGUGAAAUGCGCAGAUAUCAGGAGGAACACCGGUGGCGAAGGCGGUUCUCUGGGCAUUACCUGACGCUGAGGAGCGAAAGUGUGGGGAGCGAACAGG
rnacentral:rRNA from 1 species